GGUAAGGCUCCUUUCGGGAGUACACGAGCGGCGGACGGGUGAGUAACACGUAGGAACGUACCCCAAACUGAGGGAUAAGCAUCGGAAACGGUGUCUAAUACCGCAUGUGGCCCUCGGGCUAAAGCUUCGGCGGUUUGGGAACGGCCUGCGCAUGAUUAGCUUGUUGGUGAGGUAAUAGCUCACCAAGGCGAUGAUCAUUAGCUGGUCUGAGAGGAUGACCAGCCACACUGGGACUGAGAUACGGCCCAGACUCCUACGGGAGGCAGCAGUCGGGAAUUUUCCACAAUGGGCGCAAGCCUGAUGGAGCAACGCCGCGUGCAGGAUGAAGGCCCUCGGGUCGUAAACUGCUUUUAUCUGUGACGAUUAUGACGGUAGCAGAUGAAUAAGGAUCGGCUAACUCCGUGCCAGCAGCCGCGGUCAUACGGAGGAUCCAAGCGUUAUCCGGAAUUACUGGGCGUAAAGAGUUGCGUAGGUGGCAUGAUAAGUUGGUAGUGAAAGCCUGGGGCUCAACCCCUUACACAUUAUCAAAACUGUCAAGCUAGAGGAUGAGAGAGGUUAUUGGAAUUCCUGAUGUAGGGGUAAAAUCCGUUGAUAUUAGGAGGAACACCGAUGGCGUAGGCAGAUAACUGGCUCAUUCCUGACACUAAGGCACGAAAGCGUGGGUAGCAAACAGGAUUAGAUACCCUGGUAGUCCACGCUGUAAACGAUGGAUGCUAGCUGUAUUCGGUAUCGACCCCGGAUGUAGCGAAGCUAACGCGUUAAGCAUCCCGCCUGUGGAGUACGGUCGCAAGACUAAAACAUAAAGGAAUUGACGGGGACCCGCACAAGCGGUGGAGCGUGUUGUUUAAUUCGAUGGUAAGCGAAGAACCUUACCCAGGUUUGACAUCCCGAGAAUUUUGCCGAAAGGCGAGAGUGCUUUAUUGAACUCGGUGACAGGUGAUGCAUGGCCGUCGUCAGCUCGUGUCGUGAGAUGUUUGGUUAAGUCCAUCAACGAGCGCAACCCUUGUGAUUAGUUGAAUUUUUCUAAUCAGACUGCCCUGGUAACAGGGAGGAAGGAGGGGAUGAUGUCAGGUCCGUAUUUCCCUUAUAUCUGGGGCUACAAACACGCUACAAUGGCCGGUACAAAGGGCAGCCAAGUCGCAAGACGGAGCAAAUCCCAUCAAACCGGUCCCAGUUCGGAUAGCAGGCUGAAACUCGCCUUGCUUGAAGUCGGAAUCGCUAGUAACGGUAGGUCAGUUAAUACUACCGUGA
rnacentral:rRNA from 1 species